rnacentral:rRNA from 1 species
AGCGAACGCUGGCGGCAGGCCUAACACAUGCAGGUCGAACGAACCCUUCGGGGUUAGUGGCGGACGGGUGAGUAACACGUGGGAACGUGCCUUUAGGUUCGGAAUAACUCAGGGAAACUUGUGCUAAUACCGAAUGUGCCCUUCGGGGGAAAGAUUUAUCGCCUUUAGAGCGGCCCGCGUCUGAUUAGCUAGUUGGUGAGGUAAUGGCUCACCAAGGCUACGAUCAGUAGCUGGUCUGAGAGGAUGACCAGCCACAUUGGGACUGAGACACGGCCCAAACCCCUACGGGAGGCAGCAGUGGGGAAUCUUGCGCAAUGGGCGAAAGCCUGACGCAGCCAUGCCGCGUGGAUGAUGAAGGUCUUAGGAUUGUAAAAUCCUUUCACCGGUGAAGAUAAUGACUGUAGCCGGAGAAGAAGCCCCGGCUAACUUCGUGCCAGCCGCCGCAGUAACAC